AAGAAAAACACAGGUGUUUGAAACAGUGAGUCAGUGAGAGUGCUGUGGCAAUAGGUAUAUAUAUCACACUGACACCACACACCACACACCAGUCGUUUAAAAAAUGCGUUCCAUGUUGAUUUUGCUCUGCUUCGUCCUUGCAGUCGCCUUCCUUGUGGAGGCUGAAGAUGUCACCGUCGGUAAAGACCCAUGUACUUGGGGUCCAUCUUUUUGGUGCGCUAGUAGCGAAAAUGCUGCAAAGUGCGGAUCUGAGGCAUUUAAGUAUUGCGAAAGUGUCAAGUGGAAUGUCGAGUAGAGAACAUUACCGCGACAAAGGCCUGCAUUAUUAUUCUAUAUUAACAGACAUGCAUUUCCGGUGAAUGGAUAAUGGGGAUUUACAUUUUUAGCAAUUGCAUUGGUCAUUUAUCCUGUUUUGGACCGUUGUUACGCGUUAAGAACGGUGAAACAAACAAAAAUCUAGUUCAACAAUUUUAUUCUCUUUUGUAUACCACUUUUCUAUUAUUAAUAAACAUGAAAUAGUCUUUGA